rnacentral:rRNA from 1 species
AGUGAACGCUGGCGGUAGGCCUAACACAUGCAAGUCGAACGGCAGCACAGUAAGAGCUUGCUCUUACGGGUGGCGAGUGGCGGACGGGUGAGGAAUACAUCGGAAUCUACUUUUUCGUGGGGGAUAACGUAGGGAGACUUACGCUAAUACCGCAUACGACCUACGGGUGAAAGCAGGGGGUCUUCGGACCUUGCGCGAUUGAAUGAGCCGAUGUCGGAUUAGAUAGUUGGCGGGGUAAAGGCCCACCAAGGCGACGAUCCGUAGCUGGUCUGAGAGGAUGAACAGCCACACUGGAACUGAGACACGGUCCAGACUCCUACGGGAGGCAGCAGUGGGGAAUAUUGGACAGUGGGCGCAAGCCUGAUCCAGCCAUACCGCGUGGGUGAAGAAGGCCUUCGGGUUGUAAAGCCCUUUUGUUGGGAAAGAAAAGCAGCAGGUUAAUACCCCGCUGUUCUGACGGUACCCAAAGAAUAAGCACCGGCUAACUUCGUG